rnacentral:snoRNA from 12 species
UACGCAGGUUGUAAUUACAGUGCUUUGUUUUGGGGAAGUACUGCUGUUAUCCUGCUGAAAGACAAGCUGUGUUAGUCAUUUUUGAUUUUGCCUUUAUGAGGGUAAAAAUCAUGACAGAUUGGCAUGGACAAUU